rnacentral:rRNA from 1 species
UACGAAGGGGGCUAGCGUUGCUCGGAAUUACUGGGCGUAAAGGGCGCGUAGGCGGGUCGUUAAGUUAGAGGUGAAAGCCCAGGGCUCAACCCUGGAAUUGCCUUUAAUACUGUCGACCUUGAGUAUGGCAGAGGUGUGUGGAACUCCGAGUGUAGAGGUGAAAUUCGUAGAUAUUCGGAAGAACACCAGUGGCGAAGGCGGCUCACUGGCCCGGUACUGACGCUGAGGUGCGAAAGCGUGGGGAGCAAACAGG